AAGAUUUUAAAGGUCGAACAGACCCAAUAAUAACUUUCAGCCCCUACACCAAAAAUUCACCUUAAUCUCAACAUCGAGGUCGCAAACCUCCCUGCCGAUAAGAACUCUCAAGGAAGAUAACG
rnacentral:rRNA from 1 species